rnacentral:rRNA from 1 species
UACGUAGGUGGCAGGCGUUGUCCGGAAUUAUUGGGCGUAAAGCGCGCGCAGGUGGUUCCUUAAGUCUGAUGUGAAAGCCCCCGGCUCAACCGGGGAGGGUCAUUGGAAACUGAGGAACUUGAGUGCAGAAGAGGAUAGUGGAAUUCCAAGUGUAGCGGUGAAAUGCGUAGAGAUUUGGAGGAACACCAGUGGCGAAGGCGACUGUCUGGUCUGUAACUGACACUGAGGCGCGAAAGCGUGGGGAGCAAAC